AUGCCCUGCCAUGGGAAGAAGCACGUCCCUUCAAAUCUUGAUGAUAAUAUGGAGUUGUGGAAGAAAUUGAAAGACCGUAAUGACACCAAAAUAACUUUCAAAGGAUUGCUAGCCAAGAUGAAAGGCGACAAUACACCAAAUUUUGUCAGGCCAUUUGUCUUGUACACCAUAGGAAAAUAUGUAUGCCGAUCAAAAGAGGAGUAUGUGGAUAACAAAUAUAUUGGGAUUGUUAGAAACGUUGAGACGAUAAAGGGCACAAAUCUUGGACAACUAACGCUUGACUAUCUUAUGGAUAGCGUGAAGAAUUUUGUAAAUGGUGAGGCAAUUCUGGAGGAGAAUCUACCACUGCUGUAG
rnacentral:rRNA from 1 species